ACCUUAAAUGAAUGUUAAAGGAAAUUUAAAAGUAUGGUCUUACCCAGUAGUGAGAAUAUGUGAAGCAACUUACAAUACUGCUCUUGUGAGAAAGAAGGCAUCCAGGUUCUGAAUAAUGGUACACUGCCAUUUAUCCAAGCCUGUUGAUGACUGGUUAUGUUUUGUAAAAUGAAGUUUCUUGGAGAGGCUAGUUGUUGUAUUAAAUAUUACUGUCAUCAUGUUGCUGGUUUUGGGAGAGCUCUAGUGUUCGUUGUCCAAGCAUUAAAGUGGAAUGAAAUAUGAAGAUGCAGUAAAGUUCGUAAGACAAAAGUGAAAUGGAAAUGUUAGAAGCAAGCAGUUUUUCUCUUUGGAGCAGUAUUGUCCUACAAUGCAGCUGCACUUCCUAGACACCAGCAGUCAGAGAAACAACUCUUGCAGUAA
rnacentral:lncRNA from 1 species